GUCUAUGGCCAUACCACCCUGACUGCUUUCUGCUAUCAUCUGACCUAGAAGCUAAGCAUGGCCAGGCCUGGUUACUACUCGGAUAGGAGGCCAGUAUUGGCA
rnacentral:rRNA from 1 species